rnacentral:rRNA from 1 species
UACGUAGGGUGCGAGCGUUAAUCGGAUUUACUGGGCGUAAAGCGUGCGCAGGCGGCCCGUUAAGACAGGUGUGAAAUCCCUGGGCUCAACCUAGGAAUUGCGCUUGUGACUGGCGGGCUCGAGUACGGUAGAGCGGGGUGGAAUUCCUGGUGUAGCAGUGAAAUGCGUAGAGAUCAGGAGGAACACCGAUGGCGAAGGCAGCCCCCUGGGCCUGUACUGACGCUCAUGCACGAAAGCGUGGGGAGCAAACAGG